UUUAAAUAUAUAGUUAAGUAUUAUGUACUGUAUAUAUAUUCUUUUUUAAUUAUACUAAGUAAUUAUAAUCAAUAUCGCAACAUUUUAUACCAUUAGUAAUGUUAACUCAUUAAGGAUCGAUGCAUUUGGUUUGUAAUUUUGCAAUCUUCUCGGCAUAUUUUAUCAUGUGAAAUAUUUAAAUCUUAGAAAACGCAGACAUGUAUAAUCUCAAAUAAAAGCAUAAUUUUUUAAACAAAAAAUUUAUAUAAUUAAUAAUUUGCUUUGAUGUUUCGCCAGAACAAAAAUGAUUAUAUUGGAGCACAAAUUUGUAUCCCCUUUCCUUGAGGUGUUAAUUGUGAUUUCUCUUAUAUUAUGCAUUGUUAUAAAUCGCAUGAUACAGUAUAUAAAUUUUUAACAAGACAAAAUAUAUUGUUGAUAAGAUAAAUGUAAGAAAAACUUAUCAAAUUCGGCUAAAUACAAAUUCUGAGGCAAGAACUGAGCUGAUUGAUAUUCUUAAGUAAGUCCUUUUAAUAUUCAUCUCAUCAAUAAGAUAUUUUGUGUUUUGUUCGUUAAACAUUUACAUGUUAUGUAAUUUACAACAAUACGUAAUAUUCAGUCUGAUAAUAUUAGAUAAUUUAUACCAGAUUUGUACAAUAACAUUAUUUUUAAUAAAAAUAUGUGAAACUGA